CCUACGGGAGACAGCAGUGGGGGAUAUUGCACAAUGGGGGAAACCCUGAUGCAGCGACGCCGCGUGGGUGAAGAAGGGCCUCGGCGCGGAAAGCCCUGUCAGCAGGGAAGAAAAUGACGGUAACUGAAGAAGAAGCCACGGCGAACAACGUGCCAGCAGCCGCGGUAAGACGAAGGGGGCAAGCGUUAUCCGGAGUGACUGGGGGUCAAGGGGGCGAAGACGGCGUGGCAAGCCAGGAGUGAACGCCCGGGGCCCAACCCCGGGACUGCUCUUGGAACUGCGUGGCUAGAGUGCAGGAGGGGCCGGCGGAAUUCCUGGUGUAGCGGUGCAAUGCUUAGAUAUCCGGCGG
rnacentral:rRNA from 1 species